AGAUUGUUAUAGCUAUCAAAGUGGUGACUAGUUCAGGCUGAGUUUUGUUUCUGUGAAGUUUUUCCAGUUACUUACCUUCCUCACUCUCUGCAAGGAACCCUGCUGCUCACUUGCUCUCUACCACUUUCCAACUUAAGGAAUAAGGAGCAAGCCAAAACCCAGAAUCCUUACUGGCUAUUGCCAGCGCCCAGUCCCAGUGAAAGCCACAGGGUGAUUGGAACAGUUAUUUUAAGUACAGAUUUUUAAACUGUUAGGUUGUGUUGUAAAGGGUUUUUCUAAAACCUAUUGAUUUUAAGAUCCUAUUGAUUGAAAAUCUGCAGAAUAACACAAUUUUUUAAAAACAAAGAAGGUGGAUCUGUUGUAUUCCAGCAUCUGCAAAGUGGAUGUUCAUACCAUUUGGCUAAACAUGGUCAAAUUUCUGUUAUAGAACAUCCUCCGGCUAUGCAGAAGUUUUUCUUUCACCACCUGGACCUACAGUGCUGUUCUCGCAUCAAAACACUUUGCAAGGUGCUCCAAAAUACUCCAACUCUUACCAGCGGAAUCUGGGGGACUUCUACCACAUGGAGACCUUGUUGUUGCUUUGGCACAUGUGGGAAAAUGGAUACUUUCUGAAAACAUAAUGGAGAGUUUGCGGUUCUGUUGCCUUGUGAGGUCGCUCUAAGUUUGCGGUUGUUUGUUCGUCCCAGCCCUGUACUACGGUUUCCUCGCGCCCCGGGAGACGCACGCGACCCACCGCGGCGGCUCUGACUCUCGGCUGAGUCACUGGACUGGACCGCACCACACCGACCCUCCGCCUCCGCCUGUCUCGCUCCUGUAUAUAAAGAAACCGAACAGAGCUGAUGCCGAGCACCUCGCAGUUCUCAAUACAGAGUGUACGUGUGAAACAGCUGAGACGAGGAAGAGUUCAAAAACGACAGUGAAUAACCAACCAAGAGUGCGGUUACUUUCUUUACGAAACAGCUGUACAAAUAGCAUAACAUGCUUGUAUAAUUAUUAACUACUACAAUAUUAUUUUAAUGAAAAAUACUUCUUUUAUUCAAAUCAAUUUUGUGGAUGGUAUGUCCUAUGUAUUAUAGGGUGCCUGUGAGUAAAUAAAAGCAAUAAAAAGCAAUCAAAAAUGCCCUGUCUUCCCUGUAUAAGAGUUGUGGAUGGUCGUCGCGGUGCUUCUAUGUCUAUCUUUUCAAAAGUCUUUCUGUGAAUUUACUUGGAGUGAAAUAACGGAAAUGCUACACAUUACAUAUUACAUAGAAACAUAUUACCCAGCAAAUUUACCUUUGUUUUUAAAGCUGAAUCCUUUCCAGAUUUUUAUCCUGCCUUUUAUUUCUAUGUUAUUAUCCAUUGAUAUUCACAAGUGAAUUCUUUUCUUCUUCUUUGUUUUUUUUAAACACUAUUGUAUUAAGAUUUUUUUCUAUAGUGAUGUAGAUGAUAAGACCUGUUUUUCUUUCUUACUUGCUAGAUUCAUGGUGUCUGUUCCAUUUAGUUACCUCCUUUAGAAAAGUGAGCAAUGGAGACAGAAAUUACUGGGAUUCCCAUGAUAUGGGAAUUCCUUUUCAAGAUUAUAUUUGAUGGCUAUUAAGCUCACAUGGAUCCUUUUUCAUGCAUGGAUUUAUGGAUAUUGUCUGUGUGUUUUAUGCAAUAUUAUAAGAUUGUUAACUGUGUGGAGAUCACAUGUUUUAACACCUCAUUUCAGACUAAACUGAUGAUGGUGCAUAACGAUGCCUAAUAAUCAAUAUUAAGAACAAUACUUAUUAUACAGACUGAACAACUGAUACACUGUUACUUUGUGCUAUGUUUCAGCUACAUUCAGCCCUUUUCUUCAUUGAUAAAAGCUAAUGCAUUACUGCAAUUUAUUCUGAUCACAGUUUCAUACCAAAGUUUAACUGAAGCAACUGGAUGCAAGCUGGAACUUUUGCUAUAUUUCAAUAAAUCAUCCUUGAACAAGAA